GUACGGCGAGUGAAGCGGCAACAGCUCAAAUUUGAAAUCUGGCUCCUUCGGGGCCCGAGUUGUAAUUUGCAGAGGAUGCUUCGGGUACGGGUUCCUUCCGAGUUCCCUGGAACGGGACGCCAUAGAGGGUGAGAGCCCCGUCUGGUAGGACACCCAGCCCGUGUGAAGCUCCCUCGACGAGUCGAGUAGUUUGGGAAUGCUGCUCUAACGGGAGGUAUACUCCUUCCAAGGCUAAAUACCGGCUGGAGACCGAUAGCGCACAAGUAGAGUGAUCGAAAGAUGAAAAGCACUUUGAAAAGAGAGUCAAAUAGCACGUGAAAUUGUUGAAAGGGAAGCGCUCGCUACCAGACAUGGGUUCGGCGGUUCAACCGGGGCCACGCCCCGGGGCACUCCGCCGGCCCAGGCCAGCAUCAGCUUUCCGUCGGGGGCAAAGGCGUCGGGAAUGUGGCUCUCCUUCGGGGGAGUGUUAUAGCCCGGCGUGUCAUACCCUUCGGGGGGCUGAGGUACGCGCUUCUGCAAGGAU
rnacentral:rRNA from 1 species